rnacentral:rRNA from 1 species
UACGGGGGGGGCAAGCGUUGUUCGGAAUUACUGGGCGUAAAGGGCUCGUAGGCGGCCAACUAAGUCCGACGUGAAAUCCCAAGGCUUAACCUUGGAACUGCGUCGGAUACUGGAUGGCUUGAAUUCGGGAGAGGGAUGCAGAAUUCCAGGUGUAGCGGUGAAAUGCGUAGAUAUCUGGAGGAACACCGGUGGCGAAGGCGGCAUCCUGGACCGGCAUUGACGCUGAGGCGCGAAAGCUAGGGGAGCAAACGGG